rnacentral:lncRNA from 1 species
AGAUAUCCCUUUUCAAUAUGAUGACAUUUAAGGUUAGCAGUUUGGUUCUUCAGUUGAGAUAAUUUGUUGAUCGCUUUUCUUUUGCCCAUGUGGUGCAAGGAAACAACUUUCGAGGAAAGUUUUUCUUUUGCAUUGAUCCUACAGAGUAUCUGUUUAACAUAGUUUUAACUGUGCGUCCUGAUAAUCACAGACGAUGACAACAUUCAUGCCCCCACCACCAGCUGCAAC